AAAAGGAAAGCAAAAUAGAGCAGGAGUAGCUAUACUUAUAUGUCACAAAAUAGAUUUCAAGACUAAAACUAUGAGAAGAGACAAAGAAGGUCAAUAUAUAAUAAUAAAGGGACCAAUU